UGGGGAAUAUUGGACAAUGGGCGAAAGCCUGAUCCAGCCAUGCCGCGUGUGUGAAGAAGGUCUUCGGAUUGUAAAGCACUUUAAGUUGGGAGGAAGGGCAGUAAGCGAAUAUCUUGCUGUUUUGACGUUACCGACAGAAUAAGCACCGGCUAACUCUGUGCCAGCAGCCGCGGUAAUACAGAGGGUGCAAGCGUUAAUCGGAAUUACUGGGCGUAAAGCGCGCGUAGGUGGUUCGUUAAGUUGAAUGUGAAAGCCCCGGGCUCAACCUGGGAACUGCAUCCAAAACUGGCGAGCUAGAGUAGGGCAGAGGGUGGUGGAAUUUCCUGUGUAGCGGUGAAAUGCGUAGAUAUAGGAAGGAACACCAGUGGCGAAGGCGACCACCUGGGCUCAUACUGACACUGAGGUGCGAAAGCGUGGGGAGCAAACAGG
rnacentral:rRNA from 1 species